UGAUAUUUCCUGAAAACUUGCAAUUAUUAUAAAAUCAUUUUAAAACCCUGUGUUACUUAAGUCAUUAUGGAAUAUGUGAUGGUAGAGUAUGAGUUUCUUAUUCUUAAUAUCAUUGUUGCUUGGAGAAUUUAUUUCAAAAUAUUCAAAAUUCUAGCUACCAUCCUCAGUGUUUUAUAUGCCUGAUAAAACUGAAAAUAUUAAUUAUGAUUACAAAAGCUAUCUACUCUGUAUUGAGUUUGUUCAAAAUGAGUUAGACCCUUGUUGAGAGAUUUAUCAUGCUCCUAAGAUCAAGACAUUAUUUCACAAAGAUUCACUCUUCCGAAGUAUUAUUGCAUUAGAGGCAUGGGCUAUGCAAAAAUAGAGAUAUUUCGAGGAAAUAAAAAGGAGCAAGUGCUCGAUAACCUCGUAGAAAAAAUGGACAAGUGUCCGGCAGUAGAAUUAGGGGUACCUCGGUAUCCACUUAAAAAAAAUGAUAGCCCAUGGUCCCUCUAAUAAGCAAUAUGCCAGCAAGAGUUGACAAAGAUUUUAAUUUCCAAAGUCUUUGAUCUAAGAGUAUGACAUUCCCCUCCUCGGAUCCCGUUUUGAUCAGGCC
rnacentral:lncRNA from 1 species